rnacentral:rRNA from 1 species
UACGUAGGGUGCAAGCGUUAAUCGGAAUUACUGGGCGUAAAGCGUGCGCAGGCGGCUUUGCAAGACAGAUGUGAAAUCCCCGGGCUUAACCUGGGAACUCCAUUUGUGACUGCAUGGCUGGAGUGCGGCAGAGGGGGAUGGAAUUCCGCGUGUAGCAGUGAAAUGCGUAGACAUGCGGAGGAACACUGAUGGCGAAGGCAAUCCCCUGGGCCUGCACUGACGCUCAUGCACGAAAGCGUGGGGAGCAAACAGG